GACGAACGCUGGCGGCGUGCUUAACACAUGCAAGUCGAACGGAAAGGCCCUGCUUGCAGGGUGCUCGAGUGGCGAACGGGUGAGUAACACGUGGGUGAUCUGCCCUGCACUUCGGGAUAAGCCUGGGAAACUGGGUCUAAUACCGGAUAGGAGCCAUCUUUAGUGUGAUGGUUGGAAAGUUUUUUCGGUGUAGGAUGAGCUCGCGGCCUAUCUGCUUGUUGGUGGGGUAAUGGCCUACCAAGGCGGCGACGGGUAGCCGGCCUGAGAGGGUGGACGGCCACAUUGGGACUGAGAUACGGCACAGACUCCUACGGGAGGCAGCAGUGGGGAAUAUUGCACAAUGGGCGCAAGCCUGAUGCAGCGACGCCGCGUGGGGGAUGACGGCCUUCGGGUUGAAAACUCCUUUCGCUAGGGACGAAGCUUUUUGUGACGGUACCUAGAGAAGAAGCACCGGCUAACUACGUG
rnacentral:rRNA from 1 species